rnacentral:lncRNA from 1 species
CUGGGAAGGUCACUUGCUCCCAGAGGAGACCACCAUAGUGUUCGAUAGGAGCAUGUUGUAAGGAACUCUGGCCUCUCCUAAAGAUUUCUCUCCGUGCAGCGCCACCCUGCUCCUCUGCCCCCACAGGUUCACAGGGUACCCCAAAACUACAGACGGGAGAAAAUCUCCCAACUGGUGCUCUGGAAGGAGAUGGAGUCCGAGAGAGGUGAGGCAGGGUUUCUUCUCUCCAAGUAGCAACCAGAGAAGAGCUUUUCUCCUAGAAUCGUCAUCUCUGAGCCCGUCCACAGCUCCUGCAGCGCCUCACACCUACUGGCCCAACCUGCAGGCCUGGGAGCCUCUCCCAGGUAUUGGCUGCUGUCCCAGCAGAAGAAUUUGCCAGAAGGAAAGACCACAUGGACUCCUCCAAGCUGGCUCCUUUUAGAACCAUAGGCUGGAGGAGGUGCCUCCCUUGUGCUGUAAGCAGGGAGCGGCCCUGCUGCCAGGACACCGCAGGUUCUGGGAACAGGGGAAAAGGUUAUUCCAGGUCAGUGAGGAGGCUGGUACCAAAAUAAGUCCUGGCACUGGCUUGAUCCCAGCAUGGCUACGUGAGGCAUACAGGAUGGAAAAGUGGGUAAGAGGAACAUUAGCCUGAGGACAUCCAGAGAGAAGGAAGCCAGCAGAAACUGGACCAAGCAGGACACAUGUGCAAACAGAAGACACCGAGGAGAAU